rnacentral:rRNA from 1 species
GUGAACGCUGGCGGUAGGCCUAACACAUGCAAGUCGAACGGCAGCACAGUAAGAGCUUGCUCUUACGGGUGGCGAGUGGCGGACGGGUGAGGAAUACAUCGGAAUCUACUUUUUCGUGGGGGAUAACGUAGGGAAACUUACGCUAAUACCGCAUACGACCUACGGGUGAAAGCAGGGGAUCUUCGGACCUUGCGCGAUUGAAUGAGCCGAUGUCGGAUUAGCUAGUUGGCGGGGUAAAGGCCCACCAAGGCGACGAUCCGUAGCUGGUCUGAGAGGAUGAUCAGCCACACUGGAACUGAGACACGGUCCAGACUCCUACGGGAGGCAGCAGUGGGGAAUAUUGGACAAUGGGCGCAAGCCUGAUCCAGCCAUACCGCGUGGGUGAAGAAGGCCUUCGGGCUGUAAAGCCCUUUUGUUGGGAAAGAAAAGCAGCAGGUUAAUACCCCGCUGUUCUGACGGUACCCAAAGAAUAAGCACCGGCUAACUUCGUG